rnacentral:ncRNA from 1 species
GUGAAGCAAGCAGGAAAAAGUCGGGUAAGCUGAUGGGGCUGCACACAAGUAACGUGGUAGUUAUGCUGACGGAUAUCAGACAGAGUGUGUGAAGAAGUAUGUAACCCGGUAAAGUAGUUGAAGAAAGCAUGAACAUCAGGGCAAGAAAGCAAAGUGUUCACCACUAUUGGGAGAAAGUUGAACAGGUUGAACCAAUCAACACUUUACCCCUAAUUAAGAAGUUGUUAAGCGGAAGAAUCAACCGAGCGAGAGGACACAGCACUUCAC